rnacentral:rRNA from 1 species
CAUGUAGGUGGAUACUUAAGUCUAUUGUGAAAAUGCGGGGCUCAACCCCGUAUUGCGAUGGAAACUGGGUGUCUUGAGUGCAGGAGAGGAAAGGGGAAUUCCCAGUGUAGCGGUGAAAUGCGUAGAUAUUGGGAGGAACACCAGUGGCGAAGGCGCCUUUCUGGACUGUGUCUGACACUGAGAUGCGAAAGCUAGGGGAGCGAACG